rnacentral:rRNA from 1 species
UACAGAGGUCUCAAGCGUUGUUCGGAUUCAUUGGGCGUAAAGGGUUCGUAGGCGGCGCGGUAAGUCGGGUGUGAAAUUUCGGAGCUUAACUCCGAAACUGCAUUUGAUACUGCGGUGCUUGAGGACUGGAGAGGAGACUGGAAUUCACGGUGUAGCAGUGAAAUGCGUAGAGAUCGUGAGGAAGACCAGUGGCGAAGGCGGGUCUCUGGACAGUUCCUGACACUGAGGCACGAAGGCCAGGGGAGCAAACGGG